UACAGAGGGGGCAAGCGUUGUUCGGAAUUACUGGGCGUAAAGCGCUCGCAGGUGGUUCGUCGCGUCGUGCGUGAAAGACCCCGGCUCAACUGGGGGAGGUCGUGCGAUACGGGCGAACUGGAGGCCAGUAGGGGGAUGCGGAAUUCCGGGUGUAGUGGUGGAAUGCGUAGAGAUCCGGAGGAACACCAGCGGCGAAGGCGGCAUCCUGGACUGGUCCUGACACUCAUGAGCGAAAGCGUGGGGAGCGAUCCGG
rnacentral:rRNA from 1 species